UACGUAGGGUGCGAGCGUUGUUCGGAAUUACUGGGCGUAAAGGGCUCGUAGGUGGCCAACUAAGUCAGACGUGAAAUCCCUCGGCUUAACCGGGGAACUGCGUCUGAUACUGGAUGGCUUGAGUUCGGGAGAGGGAUGCGGAAUUCCAGGUGUAGCGGUGAAAUGCGUAGAUAUCUGGAGGAACACCGGUGGCGAAGGCGGCAUCCUGGACCGACACUGACACUGAGGAGCGAAAGCCAGGGGAGCAAACGGG
rnacentral:rRNA from 1 species